CAAUAGACUGUAUUUAAAUGACCCGAUGAAAUGAAAACUAGCUGGUUGAAGCGUUUUAAUUUUCAUUCGCGGUGUGGACAUACCAUGCAUUUACAGAUAUUGUUCUGCAAAGGGUUAUGAAUAUGUAUUCGGAGAACAGCCCCUGACAGGGGAUGUGUAUAAAAAGUUUCCACCAAAACAGGAAACUUCCAUCCAUUCACAAAACGAGGGCCGGGCGACCUGCCGCACUUUAUAACAUUUAAUUUACAGUCGAGCCCGAGCGGCCGCGUUGCAUAGACAUAUUUUUCCGCUUCAAGCACGCCAUCGUUUGAAUUCCUGUUCAAGUGCAUAAAGUCAAAGAAUGCCAACGCAAUGUUGGCCUUUUGGACAAAUCAGCUGUGCGUUAAAAUGUUACUUACCGAUGCCAGUUCUGUGAAACUCGUCUUGGGGACUGAUGGCACCAAAACGGGAAGGUUUUAACAAACCCACGGCCAAUAGUUGGAAAGCGAGAUGGUAAAUCAACAGUGUUGAAUAAAGUGAGAAACUACAUCCCUUGUGAUUCAAAGGGGCGGCGGUAGCAUGAAUAUAUCGCUGGCCACAUGGCGGGAGCAGUGCUGGGGACUGAGACUGGCGGCGAUGUAGUCAAGUGGAUGGGAUUCGGCGCUGGCAUCAUUGUUUUGCUUGAGAUGGUGCCUGACCUGUAUGUAGACCGUACCCAAUGUAUACCGGGCUUCACUCAAACUUUCAGCGCUGCCGUCUUCUGCACUUCACUCGUUUGUUUCAAAAGAGCAAUGAGUAGGGGGAAAACACUUUACUGCUGAGCUCCAAUGAAAUACCCGGAACCCAUACUUGACAUUUUACAGACCGGGGUUGCCUUGUUCCUCGAAUCCGCUGAAAUGAACCAGCGGGAAUGAGGACGAUUCAUUCCUUGUCUGAUCUGACCCAAUUCGGGGGGAAAUCCGCCGCUAAACAGAACCUUCUGCGUGUUGCAUCUCUGGCAACAUAUGACAGCUACACUGGACUGUGGGGCCAUCGUGUGGACACUAUGUGAAGUACAAGGGCUUUAAUUUCAAUGAAAAACAAGAGAUGAGAAUAUUGAUGGAUCCUUGAAAAGAUAGUCAGUGACCAUCCCACAAGGGAAAAGCACGAAGCAUAGAAGCAUAUUGUUAGUCUGCUUCAUAUUCACAACCAAAAUUCCUGAAGAUGAAUCACCGUUAAGACCUUGAUGUCACGUUGGGUGUUGCCAUGGAAACGGAUAAAAAAAGGAAUUGUUCCUUCAUGUUUCUCCUUUAGUUGAGGCUGAAGGUGUAGACUCCUCAUUGUCUACGUCGACACCCUGAUCUAUGAAAAAGAAUUAAUAUUUGCUGCCUUUUCCAGACAUUAA